GCGGUCUGCUUAACACAUGCAAGUCGAACGGAGUAGCAAUACUUAGUGGCGGACGGGUGAGUAACGCGUGAGAAUCUGCCUAUAGGUUGGGGACAACGGAUGGAAACGUCUGCUAAUACCCGAUGUGCCGAGAGGUAAAAGCUUUAGUGCCUGUAGAUGAGCUCGCGUCCGAUUAGCUAGUUGGUUAGGUAAAGGCUGACCAAGGCGACGAUCGGUAGCUGGUCUGAGAGGAUGAUCAGCCACACUGGGACUGAGACACGGCCCAGACUCCUACGGGAGGCAGCAGUGGGGAAUUUUCCGCAAUGGGCGAAAGCCUGACGGAGCAAUACCGCGUGCGGGACGAAGGCUUUUGGGUCGUAAACCGCUUUUGUUAGGGAAGAAGAACUGACGGUACCUAACGAAUCAGCAUCGGCUAACUCCGUGCCAGCAGCCGCGGUAAUACGGGGGAUGCAAGCGUUAUCCGGAAUUAUUGGGCGUAAAGCGUCCGCAGGUGGUUUAUCAAGUCUGCUGUCAAAGCGUGGGGCUUAACCCCAUAAAGGCAGUGGAAACUGAGAGACUAGAGUACGGUAGGGGUAGCGGGAAUUCCCAGUGUAGCGGUGAAAUGCGUAGAUAUUGGGAAGAACACCAGCGGCGAAAGCGCGCUACUGGGCCGAAACUGACACUCAUGGACGAAAGCUAGGGGAGCGAAAGGGAUUAGAUACCCCUGUAGUCCUAGCUGUAA
rnacentral:rRNA from 1 species